AGAACGAACGCUGGCGGCAGGCCUAAUACAUGCAAGUCGAACGCACUCUUCGGAGUGAGUGGCAGACGGGUGAGUAACGCGUGGAAACCUUCCCAAUAGUACGGAAUAACUCCGGGAAACCGGUGCUAAUACCGUAUAAGCCCUUCGGGGGAAAGAUUUAUCGCUAUUGGAUGGGUCCGCGUCGGAUUAGCUUGUUGGUAGGGUAAUGGCCUACCAAGGCGACGAUCCGUAGCUGGUCUGAGAGGAUGAUCAGCCACACUGGGACUGAGACACGGCCCAGACUCCUACGGGAGGCAGCAGUAGGGAAUCUUGGACAAUGGGCGAAAGCCUGAUCCAGCCAUGCCGCGUGGAUGAUGAAGGCCUUAGGGUUGUAAAGUCCUUUCGGCGGGGAAGAUAAUGACGGUACCCGCAGAAGAAGCCCGGCUAACUUCGUGCCAGCAGCCGC
rnacentral:rRNA from 1 species